rnacentral:lncRNA from 1 species
CAGCAACAUGAAUGGCAGAAAGGCAAAUCAUGCUAGGCAUGUUCCCUUUUUAGGACCUAUUAUGAAUGCAAGCUUCAUCGGAAUGUAAGCAAAUAGUCUCUUAUAUUAUCAUGGACGAUUCCAACAAAGGCAGAAGGGCAGUAUGACAAUGAAAAGUCCCAUAUAGGACCAACUAUCGAGUCCCAGAAUGCAUUAUGAAUAGGCAGAGGCAAAUCAAGCUAGGGAUGUUCCCUUUCUAGAACCUAAUAUGAAUGCAAGAUUAAUCGGAAUACGUAACCAAUUGAUCGCUUAUAAGAUCGGUGACAAUUCCAACAAAGGCAGAAGGGCACAAUGACUAUGAAAAGUCCCUUCUAGGACCAUCAACUGUCGAGUUCCAGAACUGCAACAUGAAUAAGUAGACAGGCAAAUCAAGCUAGGCAUGUUCCUUGUCUAGGACCUAAUAUGAAUGCAAGCUUAAUCGUAAUACGUAACCAAUUGAUCACUUAUAAUAUCAGGGACGAUUCCGACAAAAGAGGAAGGUCUCAAUGACUAUGAAAAGUCCCUUCUAGGACCUUCUAAUGUCAAGUUCCAAAACUCCAGCAACAUGAACAAGCAAAAAGGCAAUUCAAGCUAGGCAUGUUUUCCUUUCUAGGACCUAAUAUGAAUGCAAGCAAAAUCGAAAUAUAAGUAAUGAUAGCUAAUAAAAUUAGGGACGAUUCCUACAAAGGUGGAAGGGCAAAAUGACAAUUGAAAGUCCCUUUUAGGACCUUCAACUGUCAAGAUCUAGAACUGUAGCAACAUGAAUAGGCAGAAAGGCAAAUCAAGUUAGGCAUGCUCCCUUUCUAGGACCUAAUAUAAAUGCAAACUUAAUCGAAAUCUAACCAAUUGAUUGCUUGUAAGAU